UCUGGUGACUGUUUACCCAGUUUUCCAAUUAUAGUACAGUUUCUCAGUUCUUUGCUUAUCUAGUUAAAGGUAUUAGAAAAAGAGACUGCACAAUGCUGUGCAAAAUAUAAAAAAAAAGAAUUAUAAAUACCUUAGGUUUCAUUCAUUCUUGUCUUAGCAAACAUAAUGCUGUGUUCUUAUUAAGUGGAAAAGAAGUAAAGCGAGACCAACUUAAGAAAACCUCUAUCUCAAUGAGCCUUCAAAUCUGUAUUUAACUGUAGAACUCUGAACUGCCUGGCAUCCCAACAUUGAUAACCAGUGGGAGAUUAAAUGCUACUCCUUGUUCCAAGAUGACACCAAGAUGUGUAGCACAGCUAUCUGUAAAUGAAAAUAAAAUUCAAGUGCUGCCAGAAUUUAUUUCUCUGGCAAACAACAACAGACACUUUGCCAAAUGUAUUCCGAAUGACAAUGCACUUUUUUCUCAUGAUGGGAUACAUUAUGAAAUUCUUCACUGUUCAGUAGUUUAGUCAAUAGUUUCUUUGUUGCUUCAUGUGAAAAUGUUUGCAGGUGAGUAAAAUAAUAAACUUCUUCCCAGUAGCGCUGCCAAUUCAUGAUACUGCCAGAUGAUAGCACUUUACAGCAAUUCUUACAACUCCUUUCAAUUGAACUUCAAGAGAGCUGACCCAGAGCUGUGUUACUCUUUUGUCAAAGUCUUCAUACUCUAAGAUCUGUGAAGUCUGAACAAGAAUAUGCAGUUUGCCACUAGUUGCCUUUAUCUUUCUGAGCUUGAAGUGUUGACAACUACAAGCAUCUGUGCUGCUGUAGUCAUGGAGGUACUGCUGUUAACUGUAUCACAGCCUGUACUUGUCAUGUGCUGGAAACCUCCAUGGCUGCGAGUACCUGGACAGAGAAACACUUCAGUUUUUCUUAUUUAUGUUGUAAGCCUAGUUCAAGGACUUUCAUCUACACAAAGAAUUCUUCCUGAGUGGACUUGCACAAUACACAGUCUUCUGAUAUGCUGUGCAAAUUAAUUUUCAGACUACCCCUCCAGAGACAAUUUUCGUGUAUUGUGUCUUUGCUAAACUGCAAUACAAGUUAUCCUUUACUCGUCACCUUGUCUUGAUUCUUUUUAAAUCCAAAACCAUUCCUCUCCAAAUUUCUUUGCUGUAGACUUUGCAACUAGUUCUGUACGUACUUCCAGCAUAUCGUCCAUCAGUGGUUAUCUGUUGCUACUUAAGAAGUAAGACAGACAGUCAUGCAACCUCUAGAAGUAGCGAAUCAUUUCUAACCUGCAUGCUACUCAUUUCCUAAAUGAGUUAGUUGGUAUAAAGCUGUGUAUUCUUCCUUUGUCAAAAAUUCCUGAAAUAAUCUCUCAUGGAGCAGUCUCACAAAGUACCAAGUAUGUCAGUUCAUCUCUGUUUAAACUGAAACCGGAGAACUCGGCUCCCUGUCAGUUUAAACCAAUACUGACUGAUGCACCUCACCCUGCAGAGUACGCCAGUGUGAGGGUGUAAGAACCCCUCUGGAUGCUCUUGUCUCUGCGGCAACUGGAAGGGAGCAGCCUAAUCCUAGGACAACAGCAGCUUUCUGCUCUUAACAUUGUUUAUUUCUUGUUAUCAUUUGUUUUUUGUUUUUUGUUUUUUUUGUUUGUUUGUUUGUUUUUUUACUGUGCUUUCCCUAUGGAAUACACAACAUAUGACAAAGCUUUUCAGCAAUAUCCUUUGACUGUUUGGCAUGCUUAGCUUAGUUGCCUGCCUUAAACUGUUACUACUGCUUGCUUUUAAUCUUUUCCAGCCAAAAAUUGCUCCUCUCACCUCCUAGUUAUCAGUUCUCCACAGAAUUUGUUCUUGCUUCUGUUCCUCGGACAAAUUCCAGAAGAUAAGUGAGGUGAGCAGGCACAAUGAAGGUGUUAUCAAACUCUGCAUGUGUAUUUCCAAGAGAACCACAAAACCAUCUCUUGUUCUACUUGGAAGUAACAAAAAUGAGAUAACUGUGGCUAAUUAUGGAGAGAGAUACUCCCCAAAUCUGGAUUUACGUAAUUCUGUCUCCAUUCACUGUAAGUAAAUACGUGAUAAGAUAAGCAAGCAUGCAGACAAGUCAUUGUCUUCCUGGUAUACCGUGUGUAUCCUUCAGUAUUUUUGAUAUCAAAUAGAUGCAGCCAAACAGCAUGACAACCUGAAACCUCCUCCAUAUGAGCAAGGGUCAGUGACAGUGCAGGGCACCUGCAGGUUUGCUUGCACUAUGACAUUUCUAUUUUUUGUACAGAAUGUUUGCUAUUUAAAGCAAUUAUUGAAAAAUUAUGUGUUUGGGGAUGUUAUUUAUGCAAAUAAAUAUGCAAAGAGGCAUGUUCUUUUAUUUCCUGGCAAGUUGUAAAGUGACCCUUAAGUUUGAAAGCCUGCAGAAUAUUCUCAAUCAGGACAGUUUUCCUCCAACAAAGUGUAUUUAACAUUCCUAACCUUGAGCAGCAGGGGAAAAAAUAAGGUCAUGGCUCUAGAAAAACCUGUUGAUGAUAACUGAUAAUAUGAAAAUGAAGCAGUCAAACAGGCUGUGGAUAGCAUAGGCUGGAUAUACUUAAAAAAAAAAAAAGCAACAUAUGUGACAGAAGCAUGAAAAUUGCCUGGAAUGUGAGUGAAACAGAAGCUACCAGUUGCAAUCAGAUUAAUCCUUUAUGUCCUUGUUGCCAUCUGGGGCAGCUGAUGGCUGGAAUGGCCUGUUAUCCAAAAUUGCAGCUAAGUGGACAAAUACCAACAGACAUAACAGUCACAAGAUUGACCUAAACCCUGGGAACUGAAUUGAGAGCACUGGCAAGUAAGCAAAAUGUCUGUAAAUUUUCCCAGUUUCCAUUUCAUGUGGGACACACACAUGAGGAUCUCAGCCAAAGUAUUAGCUACAUCCUGUGGUUACUGGACAUUAAAUGUUGCAGUGGUUUCUGCAUGACUUGUAGAGCUCCUCAGAUGCAUGUGUGUUUGGUAGAGGCAGGGGGAGCCAUUAUUUUUAUCUGCGAUCAACAUUACUACAUUUGACAGUGUAGUUAUUGAGAUUAUUCACGUGAUAUAAGUGUAGGUUGCAAAUUACAUUUGGAAAGGGCAUUUUUCACCUUACAUUUAUAGGAAGUUUUAAUAUUACGUUUCAUUGGGCAGUUGUACAAAACAUAAAGGUCUGUGUACUGCUAUAUGCAGUGAAUGCUGCAGAGAUGUACGGGCUGGUUUUGAAUAACAGGGUAAAGCAGUUAAGUGAUUGAUAACCUCUAAAUACUCCUGAAUUUAAAUGCGAGUUAUGAGGUAAGCAACAGUAUGCUGUCUCUAAGCUGUGCAUGCUGCUUCAGUAUUUUCCUGGUAAGGAGAGUAGAAAACAGAACAGAAAACAAGGUGCUGUGUGUUUUACCCUGGCUUCUCUCAGUACUUCACACAUUGCUAUAAUGAGUUGGAGGAUUUAGUGUUAGGAGCAGUACUUGGUGCAGCAAGUGGAAGACUGUGUUGGAAGAGAAAUGAAUAGCUUUUCACAGAAAUUGAUUGUUUUUCAUGAAUAUAAAUAUGAAUAUACAAUUAAAAAAUGGUUUGUGUUUCUCCUUAUCUACAGGUACCAGUCUGGCUUGUGUUGAAGGGGGCUGAAACAGAAGAUGGGCCUGAACUUGGCAGAGCAACUCAGUUCAGGGAAAAUACAGUCGGACUGAAGUGUUUAGACCCAAACAACAGAUGGUGAUGCUGCUGCAGAACAGGCAUAACAAGAAAAGUGCCUAGUUGAUGACUUCCUCCCGAUCCUUCACAAUUCGUUGAUUUAAACCCAUUUCUGUGAGUGCUACUCUGAAAAUAAUGCCUCCUAUUUUAUUAUGUUGGCCCAUGAUAUCAGAGGUGGAUGUUGUUGUGAUGGUGAUAAAGGCUGAACCUUCCCACCCAUAUUCCAUUACACUGUGUUGCCGUGUGACGGCAGGCAGCAGAGGGGCAGUCUGAUCCAGUGGCUCUGACAUGGAAGUGUAUAUGAAGCACAGGGGUGGAACUGAAUGGCACCCACUGACAUUGCUCAAUACUUGCUGAACGUUUAUG
ensembl:lncRNA